rnacentral:misc_RNA from 1 species
AUAAAACCCGGUUUGACCUCUGAUUUGGUUUUAACAUCAUUUCCCUUGAGGGGAGUGGAGGAAGGAUAUGUUCACAUACAUUAAAAAGCUGUUCAGCCAACCAUGAUCACUGAACCUGCUAACCUAAACAAAUCACAACAUUGUUCUCCACCCACCAAAAGCCAACACAAAAUCAAUGCAAAACUUCCAAUUUCACACUCCCAGGGGGCUGGAUGCGUUUUAGUCAUCAAGAGAACAUGCAACUAUAUUAGUUCUUACACAAGAUUAUGCAAAUUAUUGCUACCAUACAUAUAUUUUAAACUAUCAAAUUUGAAAAAGCAAGUACAACUUGUUAGUUUAACAAUCAAAGAAACAGACACCACUAAACUAUUUCUCAUUUCGUUAAAAGAGCACUUCAUAAUGACAAUGCCAGAAAAUUUCCUACUUGAGUGUUAUCGUCAAAGUGACAGCUGGACUAUGAAGCAAGAGAUUGCAUACUUGUUCUCAUUCCAUUUCUUUUAUUUGGCUGCUUCAGAAGCUUCAGUUGUUUUAACUUCUCUUGGACACUGAGACACAUAAGGCUUUAGCUUAAAGUCAGUCAAAUCAGGGACGAUAUAGUUAGGCAAUUUCUCAGGCACAAUAACAUAUCCACCUACAACAAUCGUUUGGUUAGAAAGUAUAAACACAACACAACACAACACAACACAACACAAUUGAUGCAAUUUGACUGCGCAAGGCAGCAUGCUAUGUUUCUGUUCACUAUUUAAUACCAAUUUGAACUUCGAGUAUUUAUAAACAAUCCAUAGUUCAAAGCCCUAGUCUUAGAUGUGUACAAGCUGUCCUAUCUAUGGAACUUAAGGUUAGAAGUCAUAAACUUGAUGAUUCAAGAACUUAGUCUUAGUUUUACAUUUAAGCAAGCACCUGGUGCGCACAGAAAUAACAGCUCUCCAAAAACACAUUAACAAAUAUAUUGGACAAGCUUAAUCUCAGAACGCCCACUUCAGACCAAUUAAAAAUCUCCAUCAAACGUAUACAACGAUUCUGAAUCAAAUAUAGCGGGAGAUCAUCUAUCUAUUAUAUAGUGUAAAAAAUUUUUUAAAAAUGAUACCUUUGCGAGUGUGAAAACCGGUAGGCUUGCAAUUUUUCCCCUUGUAGUAAUCGCGAGGAGCACGUUUUGACGAGAGAAUGUCCAACGACGACGUUCGCUUUCUGCGCAUUGCCCUCCCUAUCCCCAGUAUCAGUCCCAACGGCAUUUUCGAGCAAAAAAGCUAAUAGGAUUGCAGAGUUUGGCACAGCAGCGGAGCAAAGUGAAACCAAGAGGCACAGCAGCGGAGCAAAGUGAAACCAAGA